GACGAACGCUGGCGGCGUGCUUAAUACAUGCAAGUCAACGACUUUUAGAGUAGCAAUAUUUUAAAGGAAGUGGCGCACGGGUGAGUAACACGUAGGUAAUCUGCCUUCAGGACUGACACAACUCGUCGAAAGACGGGCUAAUAUCAGAUAAUGCAGCGGCUCCGCAUGGAGACAGUUGUUAAAGUACAAGCGCCUGAAGAUGAGCCUGCGGUCCAUUAGCUAGUUGGUAGAGUAACAGCCUACCAAGGCAACGAUGGAUAGCUGGUCUGAGAGGAUGAUCAGCCACACUGGAACUGAGACACGGUCCAGACUCCUACGGGAGGCAGCAGUAAGGAAUAUUGCUCAAAUGGCCGAAAGGCUGAAGCAGCAACGCCGCGUGAAGGAUGAAAUGGCCUUUGGUCCUGUAAACUUACUGUAAAAAAGGGAAAAACAAGUACAGGUAGU
rnacentral:rRNA from 1 species